AGGACGAACGCUGGCGGCGUGCUUCACACAUGCAAGUCGAGCGGAAAGGCCCUUCGGGGUACUCGAGCGGCGAACGGGUGAGUAACACGUGAGUAACCUGCCCCUAACACCGGGAUAGCUCCGGGAAACUGGAAUUAAUACCGGAUAUGACCUAGGCCGACAUCGGCCGUGGUGGAAAGUUUUUCGGCUAGGGAUGGACUCGCGGCCUAUCAGCUAGUUGGUGGGGUAAUGGCCUACCAAGGCGACGACGGGUAGCCGGCCUGAGAGGGCGACCGGCCACACUGGGACUGAGACACGGCCCAGACUCCUACGGGAGGCAGCAGUGGGGAAUCUUGCGCAAUGGGCGAAAGCCUGACGCAGCGACGCCGCGUGGGGGAUGGAAGGCCUUCGGGUUGUAAACCCCUUUCAGCAGGGACGAAGCGAAAGUGACGGUACCUGCAGAAGAAGCGCCGGCUAACGUACGCGCCAGCAGCCGC
rnacentral:rRNA from 1 species